rnacentral:rRNA from 1 species
UACGUAGGGUGCGAGCGUUAAUCGGAAUUACUGGGCGUAAAGCGUGCGCAGGCGGUUUGUUAAGUCUGAUGUGAAAGCCCCGGGCUCAACCUGGGAAUGGCAUUGGAAACUGGCUGGCUAGAGUGUGGCAGAGGGGGGUGGAAUUCCGCGUGUAGCAGUGAAAUGCGUAGAGAUGCGGAGGAACGCCGAUGGCGAAGGCAGCCCCCUGGGCUAGCACUGACGCUCAGGCACGAAAGCGUGGGGAGCAAACAGG